rnacentral:rRNA from 1 species
CGUAAACUUUUAACUACACUUACAUCGCCAGGGAACUACGAGCAAAGCUUAAAACCCAAAGGACUUGACGGUACCCCACAUCCACCUAGAGGAGCCUGUCCUAUAAUCGAUAACCCCCGCUAAACCUCACCAUUUUUGGUUAAUCAGCCUGUAUACCUCCGGCGUCAGCUUACCUCAUUUUGAGCCAAAAACCUAGCCCCACCACAACCUAAUGAAUCACAAAAACUAACUCAACUAACCAAAACUUUUUUAUAUUUUAGUAAAGGCGAUCAAAAAAUUCUAUGGAGCUAUAAUGAUAGUACCGCAAGGGAAAAGUGAAAUAACAAUGAAAUAAUUUUAAGCACUCUAAAGUAGAG